CUACGGGCCGCUCCAGUGGGGAAUAUUGGACAAUGGGGGAAACCCUGAUCCAGCAAUGCCGCGUGUGUGAAGAAGGCCUGCGGGUUGUAAAGCACUUUCGGUUGGGAGGACUGCUUCUAGCACUAAUAUUGUUGGAAGUUGACGUUACCUUCAGAAGAAGCACCGGCUAACUCCGUGCCAGCAGCCGCGGUAAUACGGAGGGUGCAAGCGUUAAUCGGAAUUACUGGGCGUAAAGCGCGCGUAGGCGGCUAGAUCAGUCGGGGGUGAAAGCCCCGGGCUUAACCUGGGAACUGCAUCCGAUACUGUCUAGCUUGAGUACAGGAGAGGAGAGUGGAAUUCCACAUGUAGCGGUGAAAUGCGUAGAUAUGUGGAGGAACACCAAUGGCGAAGGCAGCUCUCUGGCCUGAUACUGACGCUGAGGUGCGAAGGCGUGGGGAACAAACAGGAUUAGAUACCCCCGUAGUC
rnacentral:rRNA from 1 species